GACGAACGCUGGCGGCGUGCUUAACACAUACAAGUCGAACGGUGAUGCUCCAGCUUGCUGGAGUGGAUCAGUGGCGAACGGGUGAGUAACACGUGAGCAACCUGCCCCAGACUCUGGAAUAAGCGCUGGAAACGGCGUCUAAUACUGGAUACGAAACUGGCCCGCAUGGGCAUGGUUUGGAAAGUUUUUCGGUUUGGGAUGGGCUCGCGGCCUAUCAGCUUGUUGGUGAGGUAAUGGCUCUCCAAGGCGACGACGGGUAGCCGGCCUGAGAGGGCGACCGGCCACACUGGGACUGAGACACGGCCCAGACUCCUACGGGAGGCAGCAGUGGGGAAUAUUGCACAAUGGGCGAAAGCCUGAUGCAGCGACGCCGCGUGAGGGAUGACGGCCUUCGGGUUGUAAACCUCUUUCAGCAGGGAAGAAGCGAAAGUGACGGUACCUGCAGAAGAAGCACCGGCUAACUACGUG
rnacentral:rRNA from 1 species